UUCUUACAGGAAACAAUUGUUAGUAUGGCCCUCGUCGGUGCAAUCAUUGGAGCUGCAUCUGGGGGUUGGAUUAACGAUGCGUAUGGACGCAAGAAGGCUACCCUAAUUGCUGAUGUUGUCUUCACUGUUGGAUCAGUUGUCAUGGCAGCUGCACCAGAUCCAUAUAUUAUAAUUCUGGGUCGAUUUUUAGUUGGCCUUGGUGUGGGUGUCGCAUCUGUUACAGCUCCUGUGUAUAUUGC
rnacentral:misc_RNA from 1 species